rnacentral:lncRNA from 1 species
UAAAACAGAGAAAUAAAUAAAGAAAUGCUUUAGGAUAAAUAAUUGAGUCAUUAUAAUUUACAAGCAGCGGAAAAGUUUCUCCAAAUAUAAAUCCAAAACAUUUACACAACAACAAAUGGUACAUGGAACCCAUUCAAAUAAGAUGUCAAACUGACAAUAUUAGUAUAAGUACAGUUUUCCAAAUUAAAAAUACACCAACCCAAAAAGAAGGACGCCUAGUCCCUACACAUCAACCUAAUCUGAUCAUCCUACCAAAAAACUAUACACCCUGAGUGAUCUCCACGCGCCCCGUGGGAUCCUCCUAUCGUAACUGCAGUCAAGCGCUCCCAUCU